UAUCCUUAAAGGCCUCUGGCCAACCCGGCCAACCAAGGCACCAAAAGGGGCAAAACCAUCGUGGUCGUUGUUUUGCGAUGCGACAGUAAAAAAUUCGACCCACUUUUACUCACAGCCGUCCGAUGCAGUGAUUUGUUUUGUUACUUGUUUGUCUUCGUGGAGUGUCAAUGACGUGUAGGACUAGAUACUUGCGGGGGCCAUCGGUCAGUGGCAGCCACGCGCGCUCAUUCCGGUUGCCUUCCUUAUACGCGUGGGUGAAAACCUAGAUCGGGAGUUCGGGACAAACCACUCCCCCCCCCCCAAUCAGCUGCAGCUCAUUCUCCUCUCCAGCUCCGCCUUCCGCGCCGCCAUUCGUCUCUCCCGCGUCUGGCCUCCUCCUCCGUGGCUGGAGGUCGCCAUUCUCGUGCCCCAGCAUGUGAACCCGACCAGGAAUGCUGCGGCGAUGGCGGCGAUGCGUAAGCUGCUGGCGGCGGGGAGAAAGAUGCACAUCACCAGCCUGAGGCGGCCGCUGGCGGCUGAGGAGGGGCAGCACGAGGGGUCGAGGUCGGAUCUUGGACCCAGGGUGGAGGAGCAGGAGCAGGCGGCUCUGGUGGGGCACUGUGUGAAGGAGAUGCUGGGGGCGGCGCUGGCCAAGAGGACGAGCUGCAGCCAUGGGAAGGCUCGAUCCCUGCUCCCCUUCCUCUCUCCCUUCUUCUUGUCUUUCAGUUCGUUUACUGCCAAUUUAGAUCGACCUUAUCAUCGUGAAGGAGAUGCUAGGGGCGGCGCUGGCCAGGAGAACGAGCUGCAGCCAUUGGAGUCUGAAUAUAAGAAUUGGUCUAAGAGAAGGCGCUUCUUGGCAUUGAAGAGAAUAACCUUGAUUAAGCACCUUGGGACUAUUUCAUCCGAGCUUUUCGUACUCAGGCUCAGGCCAAAAAAAAAACAGAUGAGUGACCCAGGUACUUGGUAGAUGGAACACAGUUAACCAAGACAGCAGACUUGCUCCAUUGGCAAAAAUGGUACUGUGGCUAGAAAAGGGUGUGUGUGAUUUAGGGAUUGUAAUAAAAGUCCCAGACUUUAGCUACAGGUCUGGAUCUGGAGAUAGAAGGUUCUCUUGUGAUGCGGCAGUGACAGGGUAUGUCUGCGUGGAGGUCCGUCGAAGGCCGGAUGUCACCACUCUCUUUUAGCAUAGCUGCAUGAAAUGGUUAUGAGUUUACAGCUCCGCUUCAUGGUAGUAUAAGCUUUGUAGGAAUGGAGUAGUAUAUACAUUGUACGGUACAAGGAGAUAGCUUUGCGUCUAUCUGGAUGCGUGCAGAAUGUUUCCUUUUGCUUCUAACGUUGUUAUCUCACCAUUUUGGGUUUGGGAUUUUUUUCCCAACAAUAGAGCUAGCUCUACCUAUGAGUGCAGUUAUGAUCAAGCAAAACACAUUAUAUUAAUUUAACCUGUAUUCCUUUGCUC